UACGUAGGGUGCAAGCGUUGUCCGGAAUUAUUGGGCGUAAAGAGCUCGUAGGCGGUUUGUCGCGUCGGCUGUGAAAACCUGGGGCUCAACCCCGGGCCUGCAGCCGAUACGGGCAAGCUAGAAUUCGGUAGGGGAGACUGGAAUUCCUGGUGUAGCGGUGAAAUGCGCAGAUAUCGGGAAGAACACCCGUGGCGAAGGCGGCUCUCUGGGACGGUACUGACGCUGAGACGCGAAAGCGUGGGGAGCGAACAGG
rnacentral:rRNA from 1 species